GAUGAACGCUGGCGGCGUGCCUAAUACAUGCAAGUCGAGCGAACGGACGAGAAGCUUGCUUCUCUCUUGUUAGCGGCGGACGGGUGAGUAACACGUGGAUAACCUCCCUAUAAGACUGGGAUAACUUCGGGAAACCGGAGCUUAUACCGGAUAAUCUUUUGAUCCGCAUGGUUCAAAAGUGAAAGACGGUCUUGCUGUCACUUAUAGAUGGAUCCGCGCUGCAUUAGCUAGUUGGUAAGGUAACGGCUUACCAAGGCAACGAUGCAUAGCCGACCUGAGAGGGUGAUCGGCCACACGGGAACGGAGACACGGUCCAGACUCCUGCGGGAGGCAGCAGUAGGGAAUCUUCCGCAAUGGGCGAAAGCCUGACGGAGCAACGCCGCGUGAGUGAUGAAGGUCUUCGGAUCGUAAAACUCUGUUAUUAGGGAAGAACAUAUGUGUAAGUAACUGUGCACAUCUUGACGGUACCUAAUCAGAAAGCCACGGCUAACUACGUG
rnacentral:rRNA from 1 species